UAAACUUUCAACAACGGAUCUCUUGGUUCCAGCAUCGAUGAAGAACGCAGCGAAAUGCGAAAAGUAAUGUGAAUUGCAGAAUUCCGUGAAUCAUCGAAUCUUUGAACGCACAUUGCGCCCUUGGUAUUCCGGGGGGCAUGCCUGUUCGAGCGUCAUUG
rnacentral:rRNA from 1 species